rnacentral:rRNA from 1 species
UUUNGGNNNCCCNNCCCNUUUUUUUUUUUUUUANUUUUUGNUUUUUNGGNACNAAAACNAAAAAAAAAACAACAAAUGGCUUGUCGGGUGGAGGCGGAGCGAGAGCGUACACGUUAGGACCCGAAAGACGGUGAACUAUUCCCGGACAGGACGAAGCCGGAGGAAACUCCGGUGGAGGUCCGCAGCGAUUCUGACGUGCAAAUCGAUCGUCGGAUCCGGGUAUAGGGGCGAAAGACUAAUCGAACCGUCUAGUAGCUGGUUCCCUCCGAAGUUUCCCUCAGGAUAGCUGGAGCUCGGAGAAUUCCCGGUGUCAUCCGGUAAAGCGAAUGAUUAGAGGCCUCGGGGUCGAAACGGCCUCGACCUAUUCUCAAACUUUGAACGGGUGAGAUGUCCGAUGCUUUCUCGAUCGAAGCUCGGUUACUCGCACGAGAGCUCCAAGUGGGCCGUUUUUGGUAAGCAGAACUGGCGCUGCGGGAUGAACCGAACGCUGGGUUAAGGUGCCCGAUGCCGACGCUCAUCGGAUCCCACGAAAGGCGUCGGUCGCUAUAGACAGCAGGGCGGUGGCCAUGGAAGUCGGAAUCCGCUAAGGAGUGUGUAACAACUCACCUGCCGAAGCGACCGGCCCUGAAAAUGGAUGGCGCUGGAGCGUCGAGCCUAUACCCGGCCGUCUCGGCAAAAAAAAUGUUUAUAUUUCAGGCCGAGACGAGUAGGAGGGCCGCGGCGGUGAGCUCGGAACGGCGAGGCGUGAGCCCGUCCGGAGCCACCGCCGGUGCAGAUCUUGGUGGUAGUAGCAAAUACUCGAGCGAGACCCUCGAGGGCCGAAGUGGAGAAGGGUUCCACGUGAACAGCGGUUGAACGUGGGUCAGUCGAUCCUAAGACCAAUCCGGCAGGAGGUCUUUUUUUAUCGGCGGCUUAGCUGUAUUUCAUUUUUUUUCUGUGUUUAUUCAAUGGCGUAAAUGUCUCGCAUUGUUUAACCGAUGUUAAUAACAGGCCGCCCGAAAGUCGAAAGGGAAUCGGGUUAAUAUUCCCGGACCCGGACACGGAAGUCGGUCGUGCGGGCGCGUCCCGUCCGGUCCUUCCGCGGUCCCGUCCUCAUCCUGUUACGGACGUUCUCUCUCCCGAUCUCUUUGGCGGGUUGAAAACCGCCCGAGUUCACCCUUGUCCGUCACUAUCCGGUUCUUUUCCGAUCGCGCCCUAGUGCGUGAUCGGCAGGCUCGUUAACCUCGGGCCGUGAGGGUGAGGAGGUGGACGGUAUCAAAGUUAGGCGGCCGGGGACGGGUUUCUCGAUCGGGUGUAUCGCUUUAGGUUUGCGUGGUACGGCGGACGGCGUAUGUACGGUCACGGAUUCGUUUCCGUCGAUCCGUGUAGCGUCGCCCCGCUUGCCACGUUGCCGACAUCGGUUACCGAUCCCGCCCGUCAUCCAAACCCUGCCGUCUGUUCCAGCUUUGUUUAUUUUUUCCGCCUUUUUCAUUUCUAACCCGAACGGUCAUUCCAAACGGGGCGAGCGGGUUACCYGCUUCCYUUUUGGKUUUUUUCUUUUUUUUUUCCCACCCUGCACACGGCCUUUCGGAAAAAAUGAACCUCACCUCGCUAAAAAAAUUUUGGUCCUCUUCUCGUCUUUUCCGGACUUUGCAAUCUUUUCUUUUGUUUUCCCCUCGGGGCGGCUUUAGAAAGGUUGAAUCGCGAGGAAAAAUUCGAAGGGGGAUUCAAAAUGAGGCUGGGGCGAAAAAGGAAGAUAGGCCGGGGGAGGUUAAAACCUUUUGGAAAAGAAAAGGAAGGAAGACUGGAUGUGUGGCGUUCCCUGAGAAAGGGGGUGUUCACACGGUCACGGAACCCGUCGAAAUGAUGGGAGAAGGGGAGAGAUGCCGUCAGGUGGACGGCCAGCGGAUUCCGGUCGCGGGGCUCACCGCCCGCUCGGCCCGCUAGCGGUAACGCAAACGAACUCGGAGACGUCGGCGGAGGCCCCGGGAAGAGUUGUCUUUUCUUUGUAAGGGUCGGACUCCCUGGAAUCGGUUCGCCCGGAGAUAGGGACGUCGAGGCCCGUAAAGCGCCGCCGUUCUCGCGGCGUCCGGUGCGCUUCCGCCGGCCCUUGAAAAUCCGAGGGAGUGACCCGUCGGGGGUGAUUUUCGUGCCGGAUCGUACCCAUAUCCGCAGCAGGUCUCCRAGGUGAACAGCCUCUGGUCGAUAGAAGAAUGUAGGUAAGGGAAGUCGGCAAGUUGGAUCCGUAACUUCGGGAAAAGGAUUGGCUCUGAGGGCCGGGCCGGUCGGGCCGGGGUGGCUUUUCCAUCUAAACGGUGGUCACAGCCUUCUGCGAAGCCCGUCGGGCGGGUCGGCGAAGGGAGCUCGUUCCUUGCGGACAGCUCCCCGAGCCGUCUUCCCGUCGGGCGGAACGCCUCGGUCGCGUCGGGAGGUGGCAGGGUGUACGGUCACCACCGUAUUCCUUUUUUUGCUUACCGUUACCGUAGGCGGGUCGGCGGGUUCACCCCGUCCGUUCCCGUCC